UUUCCGGUUGAUCCCGCCGGAGGCCAUUGCUAUCAGGGUUUGACUAAGCCAUGCGAGUCGAGAGGUGUAAGACCUCGGCAUACUGCUCAGUAACACAUGGAUAAUCUGCCCUUGGGUGGAGAAUACUCCCGGGAAACUGGGGUUAAUGCUCCAUAGUGGAUAUAUACUGGAAUGUUAUAUCCUCGAAAGAUCCGUCGCCCAAGGAUGAGUCUAUGUCCGAUUAGGUAGUUGGCGGGGUAACGGCCCACCAAGCCUUUGAUCGGUACGGGUUGUGGGAGCAAGAUCCCGGAGAUGGAUUCUGAGACAUGAAUCCAGGCCCUACGGGGCGCAGCAGGCGCGCAAACUUUACAAUGCGAGCAAUCGUGAUAAGGAAACCCUGAGUGCCUGUCGAUGCAGGCUGUUCAUAUAUCUAAAUCAUAUGUGAAGAAAGGGCAGGGCAAGACCGGUGCCAGCCGCCGCGGUAAUACCGGCUGCUCGAGUGAUGGCCACUAUUACUGGGUUUAAAGCGUCCGUAGCUUGAUUGUUAGGUCUCUUGGGAAAUCUUCACGCUCAACGUGAAGGCGUCCAAGAGAUACCGGCAAUCUUGGAACUGGGAGAGGUAAACCGUACUUCGGGGGUAGGAGUGAAAUCUUGUAAUCCUCGAGGGACGACCUAUGGCGAAAGCAGUUUACCAGAACAGCUUCGACAGUGAGGGACGAAAGCUGGGGGAGCAAACGGGAUUAGAUACCCCGGUAGUCCCA
rnacentral:rRNA from 1 species